rnacentral:lncRNA from 1 species
CUUUAUAUGUUUAUUCCAUGUGUAGCUGAGGUAAGCAACAUAUACAUUAUGUGUUUGUCUGGAUUGUUUUGGAAUGAGGGUCUGCACAGACCACCCUUUUUACAUGAGUAAUUUUAGCACAUUUUACACUUCAUAUCCGCUCUGGGCUGGGUACUGUAGCCGGACGCUCUGGGCUGGGUACUGUAGCUGGACGCUCUGGGCUGGGUACUGUAGCUGGACGCUCUGGGCUGGGUACUGUAGCCGGACGCUCUGGGCUGGGUACUGUAGCUGGACGCUCUGGGCUGGGUACUGUAGCCGGACGCUCUGGGCUGGGUACUGUAGCUGGACGCUCUGGGCUGGGUACUGUCGCCGGACGCUCUGGACUGGGUACUGUUGCCGGACGCUCUGGACUGGGUACUGUAGCUGGACGCUCUGGGCUGGGUACUGUAGCCGGACGCUCUGGGCUGGGUACUGUAGCUGGACGCUCUGGGCUGGGUACUGUAGCUGGACGCUCUGGGCUGGGUACUGUAGCCGGACGCUCUGGGCUGGGUACUGUAGCCGGACGCUCUGGACUGGGUACUGUAGCUGGACGCUCUGGGCUGGGUACUGUAGCUGGACGCUCUGGGCUGGGUACUGUAGCCGGACGCUCUGGACUGGGUACUGUUGCCGGACGCUCUGGACUGGGUACUGUAGCCGGACGCUCUGGACUGGGUACUGUUGCCGGACGCUCUGGACUGGGUACUGUAGCCGGACGCUCUGGACUGGGUACUGUUGCCGGACGCUCUGGACUGGGUACUGUAGCCGGACGCUCUGGGCUGGGUACUGUAGCUGGACACUCUGGGCUGGGUACUGUAGCCGGACGCUCUGGGCUGGGUACUGUAGCUGGACGCUCUGGGCUGGGUACUGUAGCCGGACGCUCUGGACUGGGUACUGUUGCCGGACGCUCUGGACUGGGUACUGUUGCCGGACGCUCUGGACUGGCGAGGCACACUGUAGGCCUGGUGCGUGGUGCCGGCACUGGUGGUACCGGGCUAGGGA